ACAAUGGUGGUUCAGUGGGUAGAAUUCUCACCUUCCAUGGGAGAAACCAGGGUUUAAGUCCCAGCCAGUGUA
rnacentral:tRNA from 1 species